rnacentral:rRNA from 1 species
GGCGAACGGGUGAGUAACACGUGGGCGAUCUGCCCUGCACUCUGGGAUAAGCCUGGGAAACUGGGUCUAAUACCGGAUAGGACCAUGCUUUAGUGUGUGUGGUGGAAAGUUUUUCGGUGUAGGAUGAGCCCGCGGCCUAUCAGCUUGUUGGUGGGGUAAUGGCCUACCAAGGCGGCGACGGGUAGCCGGACUGAGAGGUUGGUCGGCUACAUUGGGACUGAGAUACGGCCCAG